rnacentral:rRNA from 1 species
GACGAAGGGGGCUAGCGUUGUUCGGAAUCACUGGGCGUAAAGGGCGUGUAGGCGGGAAGUAAAGUCAGAUGUGAAAUCCCUGGGCUCAACCCAGGAACUGCAUUUGAAACUCACUUUCUUGAGUACCGGAGAGGAAGGUGGAAUACCUGGUGUAGAGGUGAAAUUCGUAGAUAUCAGGUGGAACACCAGUGGCGAAGGCGGCCUUCUGGACGGUAACUGACGCUGAGACGCGAAAGCGUGGGGAGCAAACAGG